rnacentral:rRNA from 1 species
AACGAACGCUGGCGGCAGGCCUAACACAUGCAAGUCGAGCGAACCCUUCGGGGUUAGCGGCGGACGGGUUAGUAACGCGUGGGAAUAUACCCUUUGGUACGGAAUAGCCUCGGGAAACUGAGAGUAAUACCGUAUGUGCCCUUCGGGGGAAAGAUUUAUCGCCAAAGGAUUAGCCCGCGUUGGAUUAGAUAGUUGGUGGGGUAAUGGCCUACCAAGUCUACGAUCCAUAGCUGGUUUGAGAGGAUGAUCAGCAACACUGGGACUGAGACACGGCCCAGACUCCUACGGGAGGCAGCAGUGGGGAAUCUUAGACAAUGGGCGCAAGCCUGAUCUAGCCAUGCCGCGUGGACGACGAAGGCCUUAGGGUUGUAAAGUCCUUUCAGAUGGGAAGAUAAUGACGGUACCAUCAGAAGAAGCCCCGGCUAACUCCGUGCCAGCAGCCGCGGUAAAGUAGUCGUG